GCUCAAAGUAGGCCUCAAGUGAUGUGUGACUACCCCCU
rnacentral:rRNA from 1 species